rnacentral:tRNA from 1 species
GGAUAUAGCUUAAUGGUAGAGCACGUGCCUAGCAUGUAUGAGGUCAUGGGUUCAAUUCCCAGUCCCUCCA